GAUGAAGAACGCAGCGAAAUGCGAUAAGUAAUGUGAAUUGCAGAAUUCAGUGAAUCAUCGAAUCUUUGAACGCACAUUGCGCCCCCUGGUAUUCCGGGGGGCAUGCCUGUUCGAGCGUCAUUUCACCACUCAAGCCUCGCUUGGUAUUGGGCAACGCGGUCCGCCGCGUGCCUCAAAUCGACCGGCUGGGUCUUCUGUCCCCUAAGCGUUGUGGAAACUAUUCGCUAAGGGUGCUCGGGAGGCUACGCCGUAAAACAAACCCAUUUCUAAGGUUGACCUCGGAUCAGGUAGGGAUACCCGCUGAACUUAAGCAUAUCAAUAAGCGGAGGA
rnacentral:misc_RNA from 1 species